AUAUUCUUCCACAUGUCAAAGACUAGGGUUCAUUUGUCAUACAUUUUCUCUCUACCCAUUUCUGCAAAUUCUCAUCUCUCUCUCUCUCUCUCUCUCUCUCUCUCUCUCUCUCUCUCUGUGUGUUCUAAGAAAGGAAUAUAUCUCCUUUUCGAGUUUCUUGCCUGAGGUAAUAGAGAAUGAAUAAGACCCAUCGAGUCAUCUCCUGAACACAAACCCAAAAGGCCCCUCAAAAAGAGAAAUGAAAAAGAUGAGGAGCGGUGAGAGUACUCAGCUCACCAUCUCAAGCCCAUGUAACAAGAACAGGAAGGAACAAGAUGAAGAUUCUUAUGAAGAAGAAGAAGAAGAAGAGGAAGAGGUGGAGAUGUUCAAAGAUGGCCGAAGAAGCUCGAGCAACAGCACGGUCGACGAGAGCGGGAAGAACGACGGCAGUAAGGUCAAAGCUGGUGGAUCUGUGCGCAAAUACGUACGUUCGAAGAUGCCUCGGCUUCGAUGGACACCUGAUCUCCAUCUUUGCUUUCUUCAUGCUGUUGAAAGACUUGGAGGACAUGAGAGAGCAACUCCUAAGUUGGUUCUUCAAUUGAUGAACGUCAAGGGCCUUAGCAUCGCCCAUGUGAAGAGCCAUCUUCAGAUGUAUAGGAGCAAGAAGACAGACGACCCCAAUCAAGCUAUAAAGGACCACGGUUUUUUUGGUGAUGGCGGCGAUCAUCAUGUUUACAAUCUCAGCCAACUUCCCCUCCUACAAACAUUCAACCACAGGCCUUCUUCUUUAAGGUUCAUGGAUGCUUCUUGGAGAGGCAUGCACAACCCUAAUCAGCUCCCAGGUUCACCAGUGUUUGAAAGAUUCAAGAUUAGACAUAUUGUAGCUUCUGCAGCGGGAGAUAUUAAUUGUGGGAUCAACAAAAGAUUUGGACCGCCUAAUCGUGAUCCUAUCCAUGUGGGUCAUCCAUCUUUUGAUGGAGAAGCUGCUACGACCACUACCGCAGCUACCUGCGACCAUUAUCGAGAAGAUCACUCCAAAUCAUCAACACUUCAUAAAUCUUGGCAAAAAAUAAGCCAAGCUCAAGUUGCAACACCCAGCUCAACGGCAAAGGAACCUGAUCUCCUAAGGACGAUCGAAGACAUCAGAAGACGAGAACAAGCGACCAGAGCAUGUUUGUUCGACGAUGCGUGCGGGCUGUCAUCAGUUCAAGAAGAGAGAUCAAGAAGCGUCUUGAAAAGGAAGGGUUUGGACCAAAAUGCCGUCGUGGACUUGGACUUGUCGCUGAGAGUGGCGAGACCCAAGAAGGAAUAUAUGGAAAAUGGCAACAAUGCGGUCGACAGCGAUUUGUCUCUUUCUCUGUCUCCUUCUUCACGUUCAUUGUUCUCGAAGCUCAGCAGAUUGAAGGAGGAUAACGGUGAUGGUGGCGGGGAUUUGAAGAAGCAGGAUGCGAGUACUCUAGAUCUGACUUUGUGAAUGAGACAAUAUCUGAGUGAGAUCUUGAGCUACUCGUCUCUAGUAUUCUUUAUCAGUACUGGGACAUCCAUGAAUAGGGCAGUAUCUUCAUGUAGGAACCCCACAGAAGGCAAAUCUCCAAAUGGGAGAGAAAAUGUUUGGCGGAUUUCCGUCAAACCAAGCACUUCAUUAAGUUUUGCCUUCUUUCUGUUGUCCCCUCGCGACUUUAUCCGAACUGAAAACGUUCUCCCCAAUCUGCGUGUAAUUACAUAUGCAAAUCUCCUUCGCGCAAUCCCAAUGUUGCCGCGGUCG